GACGAACGCUGGCGGCGUGCUUAACACAUGCAAGUCGAACGGAAAGGCCCUGCUUUUGUGGGGUGCUCGAGUGGCGAACGGGUGAGUAACACGUGAGUAACCUGCCCUUGACUUUGGGAUAACUUCAGGAAACUGGGGCUAAUACCGGAUAGGAGCUCCUGCUGCAUGGUGGGGGUUGGAAAGUUUCGGCGGUUGGGGAUGGACUCGCGGCUUAUCAGCUUGUUGGUGGGGUAGUGGCUUACCAAGGCUUUGACGGGUAGCCGGCCUGAGAGGGUGACCGGCCACAUUGGGACUGAGAUACGGCCCAGACUCCUACGGGAGGCAGCAGUGGGGAAUAUUGCACAAUGGGCGGGAGCCUGAUGCAGCAACGCCGCGUGCGGGAUGACGGCCUUCGGGUUGUAAACCGCUUUCACCUGUGACGAAGCGUGAGUGACGGUAAUGGGUAAAGAAGCACCGGCUAACUACGUG
rnacentral:rRNA from 1 species